GUUAUAUGGCUAAGUAAAUAAGCGCGUACGGUGGAUGCCUUGGCAAUAGGAGGCGAUGAAGGACGUGGCAGCCUGCGAUAAGCCUCGGUUAGCUGGCAACAAGCUUUGAUCCGAGGGUUUCCGAAUGGGGUAACCUGGCCCUUCGGGGUCAUCAUUAACUGAAUUCAUAGGUUAAUGAAGUAAACCUAGGGAACUGAAACAUCUAAGUACCUAGAGGAAGAGAAAUCAACCGAGAUUCCGUAAGUAGUGGCGAUCGAACGCGGAACAGCCCUGCACAAUUUAGCAUAAUCCCUAGUAGAACAACCUGGAAAGGUUGGCCAUAGAAGGUGAUAGCCCUGUAUGUGAAAGGUUUUAUGUGAAACUAAGUGUGCGAAGAGUAGGUCGGGACACGUGUUAUCUUGACUGAAGAUGGGGGGACCAUCCUCCAAGGCUAAAUACUACCUAUUGACCGAUAGUGAACCAGUACCGUGAGGGAAAGGCGAAAAGAACCCCUGUUAGGGGAGUGAAAUAGAACCUGAAACCGUAUGCGUACAAGCAGUCAGAGUUUUGUUAGCGUAAGCGAAGCAGAAUGAUGGCGUACCUUUUGUAUAAUGGGUCAGCGACUUACUUGCAGUGGCAAGCUUAACCGUUUAGGGAAGGCGUAGGGAAACCGAGUCUUAAAGGGCGUUAAGUCAUUGUGAGUAGACCCGAAACCAAGCGAUCUAUCCAUGACCAGGGUGAAUGUGCGGUAACACGCACUGGAGGCCCGAACCCACUGAUGUUGAAAAAUCAGGGGAUGAGUUGUGGAUCGGAGUGAAAGGCUAAUCAAGCUUGGAGAUAGCUGGUUCUCCUCGAAAGCUAUUUAGGUAGUGCCUCGUGUUAAACUUCUGGGGGUAGAGCACUGUUUCGGCUAGGGGGUCGUAAAGGCUUACCAAACCGAUGCAAACUCCGAAUACCAGAAAGUUGUUGCACGGGAGACACACGGCGGGUGAUAAGGUCCGUCGUGAAAAGGGAAACAGCCCAGACCGCCAGCUAAGGUCCCAAAAUCACAGUUAAGUGGUAAACGAUGUGGGAAGGCCGAGACAGCCAGGAGGUUGGCUUAGAAGCAGCCAUCCUUUAAAGAAAGCGUAACAGCUCACUGGUCGAGUCGGCCUGCGCGGAAGAUUUAACGGGGCUAAACUGUGUACCGAAGCUGCGGGUUCAAAAUUUUAUUUUGAGCGGUAGAGGAGCGUUCUGUAAGCUGUUGAAGGUAAGUCGAAAGGCUUGCUGGAGGUAUCAGAAGUGCGAAUGCUGACAUGAGUAACGAUUAUCAGGGUGAAAAACCCUGACGCCGAUAGUCUAAGGUUUCCUGCGCCACGCUAAUCGACGCAGGGUGAGUCGGCUCCUAAGGCGAGGCAGAAAUGCGUAGUCGAUGGGAAACAGGUUAAUAUUCCUGUACCUUGUGAUAUUGCGAUGGGAGGACGAAGAAGGCUAGAUCAGCCAUCCGUUGGUCGUGAUGGUUUAAGCAUGUAGGGAGAGUUCCUUGGUAAAUCCGGGUUCUUAAUUCUGAGAUGCGAUGACGAAGUUCUUUUUUAAAGAGCAGAAGUGAUCGAUGCCACGCUUCCAAGAAAAGUCUCUAAGCUUCAGAUAUCAUGAGACCGUACUACAAACCGACACAGGUGGACAGGUAGAGAAUACCAAGGCGCUUGAGAGAACUUGGGUGAAGGAACUAGGCAAAAUAGCACCGUAACUUCGGGAGAAGGUGCGCCCUUGAUGGUAAGAAAAUUUACUUUUCGAGCUGUUGAGGGCCGCAGUAACCAGGUGGCUGCGACUGUUUAAUAAAAACACAGCACUCUGCAAACUCGUAAGAGGAAGUAUAGGGUGUGACGCCUGCCCGGUGCCGGAAGGUUAAUUGAAGGGGUUCGUCUUCGGACAAAGCCCCCGAUCGAAGCCCCGGUAAACGGCGGCCGUAACUAUAACGGUCCUAAGGUAGCGAAAUUCCUUGUCGGGUAAGUUCCGACCUGCACGAAUGGCGUAAUUGCCGUUAAGAUGCGGUAUACCCGUGGCAAGACGGAUAGACCCCGUGAACCUUUACUACAACUUUACACUGGAUUCUGAAUGUGCUUGUGUAGGAUAGGUGGGAGGCUUUGAAGCUUCAUCGCUAGGUGGAGUGGAGCCAUCCUUGAAAUACCACCCUGGUAUGUUUGGAGUUCUAACCUAGGCCCGUAAUCCGGGUCGGGGACAGUGUAUGGUGGGUAGUUUGACUGGGGCGGUCUCCUCCGAAAGAGUAACGGAGGAGUGCAAAGGUGCCCUCAGCACGGUCGGAAAUCGUGCAGUGAGUGCAAAGGCAUAAGGGCGCUUAACUGCGAGAUAGACAUAUCGAGCAGGUACGAAAGUAGGCCUUAGUGAUCCGGUGGUUCUGUAUGGAAGGGCCAUCGCUCAACGAAUAAAAGGUACUCCGGGGAUAACAGGCUGAUACCACCCAAGAGUUCAUAUCGACGGUGGUGUUUGGCACCUCGAUGUCGGCUCAUCACAUCCUGGGGCUGUAGCCGGUCCCAAGGGUAUGGCUGUUCGCCAUUUAAAGUGGUACGCGAGCUGGGUUACCUCUGGUGUUCCGGUUGUCAUGCCAAUGGCAUUGCCGGGUAGCUAUGUGCGGACGGGAUAACCGCUGAAAGCAUCUAAGUGGGAAGCCUUCCUCAAGAUGAGAUUUCCCUCACGCAUUAGCGUGCUGAAGGUCCGUUGAAGACUACAACGUUGAUAGGCUGGAUGUAGAAGUGCAGCAAUGCAUUAAGCUAACCAGUACUAAUUGACCGUGUGAUUUAGCCAUAUAACCUCAAAUGGCUUU
rnacentral:rRNA from 1 species